rnacentral:rRNA from 1 species
UAGGGAAUCUUCGGCAAUGGACGAAAGUCUGACCGAGCAACGCCGCGUGAGUGAAGAAGGUUUUCGGAUCGUAAAACUCUGUUGUUAGAGAAGAACAAGGAUGAGAGUAAAACGUUCAUCCCUUGACGGUAUCUAACCAGAAAGCCACGGCUAACUACGUGCCAGCAGCCGCGGUAAUACGUAGGUGGCAAGCGUUGUCCGGAUUUAUUGGGCGUAAAGCGAGCGCAGGCGGUUUCUUAAGUCUGAUGUGAAAGCCCCCGGCUCAACCGGGGAGGGUCAUUGGAAACUGGGAAACUUGAGUGCAGAAGAGGAGAGUGGAAUUCCAUGUGUAGCGGUGAAAUGCGUAGAUAUAUGGAGGAACACCAGUGGCGAAGGCGGCUCUCUGGUCUGUAACUGACGCUGAGGCUCGAAAGCGUGGGGAGCAAACA